GAUGAAGAACGCAGCGAAAUGCGAUAAGUAAUGUGAAUUGCAGAAUUCAGUGAAUCAUCGAAUCUUUGAACGCACAUUGCGCCCGCUAGUAUUCUGGCGGGCAUGCCUGUCCGAGCGUCAUUUCAACCCUCAAGCCCCCGGGCUUGGUGUUGGGGAUCGGCGAGCCUCCGCGCCCGCCGUCCCCUAAAUCUAUUGGCGGUCUCGCUGUAGCUUCCUCUGCGUAGUAGCACACCUCGCACUGGGAAACAGCGCGGCCACGCCGUUAAACCCCCAACUUCUGAACGUUUGACCUCGGAUCAGGUAGGAAUACCCGCUGAACUUAAGCAUAUCAAUAAGCGGAGGA
rnacentral:misc_RNA from 1 species